GUAAAGGGGAGGGUUGUAUCACUGGUCAGAGGUCAGAAUUCACUGUGGGCUAAUGGAUCUCUGUGCCUGUUAGGAAAUACCCAAGGGAGGUAUCUGCGUGAAGGCGGGGGUUCCUUUAGUCGUGUAAUUAGAUUUCUGGAUGGAGAGCAGAGGUCCAGGAAGUCAAAGUAAGAGGAAGAGCAAGGCUGACUCAGCGGAGAGUAUGUGAUUGUGCCGAAAGAGGCGUUGGCAGCGCUGCUGCAGGACAGACUGUCCGUCCCAGCUGCUUCCCAGCCUGGGUGGGGCGGGGGCUCUGCUGCCCCCCAGCCCUCACUGAGCGCCCUUUACAGAAGGCGGAAGGACUCUGAUUUCUCCCCAGACCUGUUUGAACUGGUGGCUUCUCUCCUGCUUUGUUCUGAGGAUUCUGGAGAAGGCACGGGGGACCGGAGGGCAUGCGGAGCAAGGGCCUAGGGCUUGUCCGAGAAACCUGGCUCUCUUCCCCGCCUUCCUGUCCCAUCAUUGGCAGAUUCGGGGCUUUCGGGCUCAUGGUCACUGAGCACAGGUCUGUGGCCAGCAAGUUUCACUUGGGACACCAGAGCCCUGGGAUGCAGAAGGACUCCAGGAGGUCACUGCCGCACAGCAGCAAGAUCCGCAGCUCUGGGGAGGGGGAACAAAGUUUGCCAAGGGAGUAAGUGGAGGCCUGGGAAAUGCUUGUCUCAGCCCUCUUCCCCCAGUGAACACAGAAGGGUCCCAUCUGUGGGGCACCAGAGCCCAGCUCUUCCGGGCACCCCGCCACCAGGCUCCUUUACAGACCACCCUCAAUCCCUGCGGGAUGAAUCCCAUUCGGGGAGAAUGGAGCAGAGACAGAGACUAAUUGUUCUGCUUGGCUGGUACGGAGGAGUUUCCAGGACAGGUUUUCAAGCUAAACCAGGAUGGCUGGCCACCCAAACAGAGACUGAGCCGGCCAUGUGCUUUGUCUAAGGUCUGAGGGCCUCUCUCUUGCUCCAUUUCAAACUGAAGUGCCAGUGGAGCUCAGCUCCCCCGCCGCGGCACGUCAGCCGGGGUUGGUCUGCGUCACAAGUGCCCACGCAGUGGGGGCAGGAGACACGGAGUGCACCCGGGGCAGCUCCGCUCAUCGGAUGUCCUCUCUUCACGUGGCCUCUGUCCUCGGCAAAGGGCUUGAGAAGCCAGACUGCCCCCACCACCUUCCUGCCUCCCGGGCGCGCCUCUGCUUGCCAGCUGUCUUUCUUCCCUCAUUAAGCCCACUCUGAAUUAUCCCAGCGAGGCCACUGUCGUUUAAGACAGGCAGCAGACUGACUCGGGCAUGAAAACCGAGCAACAGGGGAGAAAAGAAUCCUGGGGGUCUCGGAGCCACGGGGGGAGAGACCUCCACCUGGGGCGUGGCUCCGUGGUGGGUCUGGGUCCCAGGCACCCCAGGCCCUUCCAGCAAGAGGCUGUGGCUGUGGGUCUCUUGCCUGAAACAGUGAGACAGCCCUCCGCUGACCUUCCGGAGACCACUGCCGCCCUGGGCCCUGAGGCUGACUCAGACCCUGUGACUAGCUUUGAGACCCGACAAGGACUUUCAGACAGCGAGCCUGCCCCUGCGGCAGGCUCAGUGGAAGGCUGCCGGGCUGACGACAGACAGUGCCAACAUCUCACUGUCCCAGGUCUGGGCAGCCCAUCCUCGGGGCGCCCCAUGGAGCACUGGGGCCUGAACUCCUAAAUAUCCUGCAGCCCCUCCUCUCCCCUCUCCUCCACAUCACACUGUCGUCUAAUGAUCUGUUUACGCCCAGGGACCUCAUUUGAUCUUUAUUUCCCCCGGGCCUGGCAGAGUGACCUGCACAUCAUAGCUGCUCUGGACAUGUUAAAUGAGGGAACAACAGACAUGCUGACCACUGAGGCCAUGCAGACAGGCUGUCUAAGAGCCUCCUGGGUGCUCUGGGACGGCAGUCGGGAUGGACGCUGUAGCCUCUGCUCUUGCAGCAGGAAGACCCUGGGGGACUGCCCACCCCGGUCAGUGGCAUCUGCCUCGCUCCGUGUCAGGCCACCUGCAGAGGUGAACCAGCCUUGGGAUGGCUGAGAGGAGCUGGACCGGGCUUACUCUGGGAUCCUGUUGUUCCCUGCCCCCUACUCGGAACCACCCAGAGUUCCAGGUCAGUUUUCUGCUGAAAGGUUGAAGCUUUAUAGCCAUGUGCCUAAGAGUUCAGUUAGGUGGCUGUGUCCAGAGGGUGUGCCCUCAGCUUUUCCUACAUCAGUGGUUCUCAACGGAGGCAAUUCUGUCUCUAGAAUUUGGCGAUGUCCGGCGAGAUUUUCGGUUGUCACAGCUGGAGGGAGGGUGCGCUGCUGGCACCUAGCGCUGGGAGGGCAGGGGUGCUGCCCACGCCGCUCACGGCCGCCCCGGCAGCAAAGGGCUAUCCCGUUCCCGGUGUCAGCAGUGCCGUGGCUGAGAAACUGUGCUCGACAGCCCUGGAAAUGAAUCUCUUAUUCCCAAGCCGGAGCCUCACUUUCCCACUUGAGUAAAAUGCAGGGUUAUUUUUAAAGCCAAAGCAGAGCAAGUCAGAGUGGGGUUUCCACCUUUGCUUGCAGGACUGAAACAGAGGAAUUUGUCACAGACCGGAGGCCCUAGUAGGGCUUGAUCCCACGUGUGGCCGCUGGAGGGCAGCAGUGCUUUCUCCGGCUUGCAGUAUGAGACUAAGGAGCUGAAACCCAGCCCGCGAGCCCUGGGUCGGGGGCAGGCCCCGGAGCGGUCAGCCCGUUAAGGACGUGGAAGUGGAGUCGCGGAUGCUAACUGAGCUGGGAGAAGUGGCUUUUCCUUCUUGUGAAGUGUGCAAGCGGAUUUCAACAGGGGCCGGGUGAGCCAGAGGGCCUCCCAGCACCGUGGUCUGGAGGCUGGGCAGCUCCCUCCCACCUCCGCUGGGUCCCACCUCCUUCCCCAGUUCAGAACCCAGGACCUGGAGCCAGAACUGUGGCCUCCUGUCACACGCUCCUCCCAGGAAUCCUGGGUGUGUGAAGCCCCAGGCCCCACGGCCCUUCCCAGCUCCCACGGCACGCAAGGCAGCCGCCACCUGCACCCCCCGUCCCCAGGCCACGAGUCCAUCCAGACAGCUGUGGCCACCCAGCCGUCCACUCUCUGAAAGAGGGGUAAGCAAGAGGGGGCUGGGGCUAGGCCUGCCCCUCACAAGGCCGCAGAGGAAGAGGCCGUGGGGUGGGGGGGCACAGGGAGUGUGGCCAGGCAAGCACCUGUCACACGGCCUCCCUGUAGGAGGGGAGCUCCCCGGGGCGGGACAGCCUGAUACACUGGCCCUGGGCGCUGGGACGGUAGCCGAGGUCCCAGUUGAAGCUUGGCCACAAUACAUUCUUUCUGGAACAAGGGGUUGGAGAAAAAUACACACUGGAAUACAGCUGAAAGUCUGAAGACCGCUCUGCUGGUCAGGAAAGACUUCUCCUGGGAAGGCAGUUCUUGGCCAGGGGUGGAGCCGCAGGGAAGCGGGAGGGCAGGGCUCUUGGGUGUUGGGGAACCUGGAGUCAAACGCUCCUGCCUGCUUUGGGGAACAACCAGAAAGGCAAGCGCCCUUUCCUGUGGCCCUCAGACAGCAAUGUCCUGGUAAAUAAAGGCUAUGAAAACUUAAUAAAAGAAUUAGGAAGUGA